UGUCUCCUAGGGUGAGAGGAAGAACCUCCUUCCAUGCUGUGUGGUUCAGAGGACUUCAGCGCCUCCAGUGGGACAGGAAGCAUCUGCAUCCUGGGGUUCCCCCAGUAUGAGAGGCAUCCUCCCUGCAUGUCUCUACUGGGACAGGCAGCAUCCUCAUCUGGCCCAGGGUGUGGGACGCAUCCUCAUCCUCCCUGCGUGUCUCUACUGGGACAGGCGGCACGUCAUCAUCAAUUCUUUGAUCCCAGCAGCAGGACUAUUUCCCUUGGUCAGUUCUUCCGCCUCCACCAUUUGGCUGCGAAGACCCCCACGCGUAACACCUUUGGCUGUCUGGCUCUGAAAAUCCACUCAACUGGUGGCUCCCUGUCUCGGGCCUCAUCUUACAUGACUGCAGCUUCCUGUAUAAAUGCUCUCCUCUUUGGACUUCUGGGACACCACGCGCACCUGAUUUUCCUUCCCGUCUCUGAGGCUGCUGUCUCCACCCACCCUCUACCUACUCCAUAAAAUCCAGAGUUUGUAGGGCUGGCCGCAGCCUCCCCCUGCUCCUCCUUGCCCCUAAGUCUGUCUCACCUACCUCUGUGGACUCAGUUUCCCCUCUGUCCCCAGCCCUAGACCCUCUUCCAGGUCCCAGGUCAGGGCUCCUGCAGUCCUUUAAAUACCUUUUAAAUACCUUUUCCCUGGGACCUCCUAGUCCCUUUGCCCCUACCAGGUCCCAGAAUGUCUCCCCAAUGUCUCCCCAAGUAUAUUCUUCCUCCCAGGUCCUGUCUCAGAGGCCCUCACUCCUAGGACCACCCCCAUCUGCAUAACAUUCCCCUCCCCCGACAGCCUGCCAAUCCUCCUGAGUGACUCUCCUUCCCCCGGUUCCUUCUUUCCCUCCAUCUGCACCUUGCUCCGGCCCCAUCCAACCGCUGGGCUCAGUCUCCCUUCUAGCGCACCCUCCACACGGAGGCUUGGGGAACCUACUGAGACACCAAAUCCAACCUGUCCCCUCUUUACCUAUAGAACCCUCUCUGACUCCCUAGUACCCCCCGGACAGCUUAAGUCCCUCAGCCUGGCAUUUCCAGCCCCACUACGGUAUAAGCACGGCUUUUAGAGAUUUGGGAGUAUGUUUCCCCCAAUUCUCAGACAACCAUGUGGGUCACUAUCAGGCACCAGAGAGAGCUUCCAAAAAGCAACCCAAACAGUAGAACUUGUAAAAUACAAGUUAGACAAGAGAAGCAGGGACUAACCACUGGCGCCACCUUGUGGAGAGACCUGGCACUGCAAGGAAUUGGCCGGCUCUUCCCCAAAACAGUCCCACCCCUGCCUGGUCCAGCUUGCACACCUCUUCUCCCACCCAGCUCCACUUCCAACUUCACCUCCAGAAAUACCACAAUUGGCUACGUGCACACCAGCGCUGUGUCACCUCCCAGCUUCCCAGAGAAGAGCAAGAGCCUUGCUCUUCCCUCUGCCUGGCAUCCUUGGAAUUGCAACUCCAGUAUCACCUCCUCCAAUUCCAAGUUUCCAGGCAGCACCAAGAAGCCAGCAGCAAUAACAGUGACACCAACAACAGCAGCCGCUGCAGCCACAACGGCUCUCUGAAUCACACACGGACGCACCGCCCUACCCUAACCCCGUUCAGUCCUGCACAGCAUCGUUAAAUCCUUGCAGCUGUUCACGAGGAAGGCGCCAUUGCCAUCACCCCCAGUUUACAGAUGAGAAAAGGAGGCCCAAAGUCUGGCAGCCACCAAACCCGGGUCACCCGGCAAGUAAGUGCAGAAUCGGAACCCUUCAGCAUCUGUGUCCAGGUUCGACUUCCACACCCCUAGCCCUGACAGCAGGACUCCCCUCCGAGACCAGCCCGGAGCUGCCAGGGAGGCACCAGAGCCCACUUUGUGUCUGUUUCUCUUUGUACCCAGGCCAUCUCUGUCCAUCCGGGCAUUUUCUGCUUUUCUUCCCUGGCUCAUUCACCCAUGGGCCCAAGCCCUGGUGCUGUCCUUCCGGCAGCUCCAGGAAAGAGAUUGUCCCCAAGGAGCUGGACUCUGUCAUCCACCUGCUCGUCUAGGGUGCAAUGCCUUCUCCUGAGUAACUGGGAGCCUGGGUUCCCUCUGGACCGCAGCUGAUUGGUUUGGGGUCUGAAUUGCCAGCUGUGCCGAGACCCGAGGAGGCCAGAGAUCUGAACUAAUCAUUUCAGCCAACACGCUCAGUGCUUCCUGCCCAUCCUGGCAUUUCAGGCCUCGCCCCACGCUGUUGGACAUGCACUGUCACCCUCUCCAUUUCACAGAUGAGAGAAUGGAGGCCCAGGGAGGACACGCCGUCUGCCCAGGGCCACACAGCUAGAAAGUGCUACUGUCCAGGACUGAGCCCGGCUAUCCUGGUUGCAGGAAGAAGAGAGGGAGUCAGCCCCAGCUAGGGGAAGGCAGAAAGAACAGGCCGCCCCUCCAUGCGCCCCUCCAGCUGGGUCCCAUGUGUGAGAGGUAGAAAGGAAGCCAGGCUAGCUGGGGGCUGCCCAGAGACUCCCAAGGGCCAGCAACUCCAUGACGCAGUCUCUCUCUGUCAUCCUUAUGGUGGUUUCUCUGCCGUCUCUCCCCUCUCCAUCCAUCCAGGCCCAGUCCAAAGUCCUCCCUCUGCUCUUUUGCCCACAGAGCCAGGAGGUGGAGGAAUGUCUGGGAUCGGUGGGGGUCCUGGGUCUCUGGGACUCCGAGUCUGCCAACCUCUGUCAUGACAGCUCUGCUUGAUGGCAUGCGUCUUAUAUGCAGAGCCCCAGACCAGUGCCUGGUGUGUGUCAUGCACUCAACAACCUCACAGAGGGAGGACUGGGAUCCAUGCUUGACCCAGAGGGAGACCAAAGCCCUAAGAAUAAUGUCGCUUGCACAAGAUCACACAGCAAAAAAGAUGGCAAGAGCAAAUUCAAA